GAUGAACGCUGGCGGCGUGCCUAAUACAUGCAAGUCGAGCGAACAGACGAGGAUCUUGCUCCUCUGACGUUAGCGGCGGACGGGUGAGUAACACGUGGAUAACCUACCUAUAAUACUGGUAUAACUUCGGGAAACCGGAGCUAAUACCGGAUAAUAUAUUGAACCUCAUUUUUCAAUAUUUAAUUACGUUUUUUCUUUCUCUUCUAGAUUUUUCCGCGCCGCAUUAGCUAGUUGGUAAGGUAACGGCUUACCAAGGCAACGAUGCGUAUCCGACCUGAGAGGGGGAUAGGCCACACUGGAAGUGAGACACGGACAAGACACCUACGGGAGGAAGCAGUAGGGAAUCUUACGCAAUGGGCGAAAGCAUGACGGAGGAAAGCAGCGUGAGUGAUGAAGGUCUUCGGAUCGUAAAAAUCUGUUAUUAGGGAAGAAAAAAUGUGUAAGUAACUAUGCACGUAUUGACGGUAACUAAUAAGAAAGCAACGGCUAACUACGUG
rnacentral:rRNA from 1 species